UAGGGAAUCUUCCGCAAUGGACGAAAGUCUGACGGAGCAACGCCGCGUGAGUGAAGAAGGAUUUCGGUUCGUAAAACUCUGUUGUUAGGGAAGAAAAAAUGUAUAGUAACUAUAUACAAAAGAGACGGUACCUAACCAGAAAGCCACGGCUAACUAAGUGCCAGCAGCCGCGGUAAUACGUAGGUGGCAAGCGUUGUCCGGAAUUAUUGGGCGUAAAGCGCGCGCAGGUGGUUUAGAAAGUCUGAUGUGAAAGCCCACGGCUCAACCGUGGAGGGUCAUUGGAAACUAAUAAACUUGAGUGCAGGAGAGAAAAGUGGAAUUCCUGGUGUAGCGGUGAAAUGCGUAGAGAUUAGGAGGAACACCGGUGGCGAAAGCGGCUUUUUGGCCUGCAACUGACACUGAGGCGCGAAAGCGUGGGGAGCAAACAGG
rnacentral:rRNA from 1 species